ACUGAAAAAAAAAAAAAAAAAAAAAAUUAAAGAAAUGACUAAUGACUCUAGAUUGCGUCUGGAAAGGCAUUUUAAUUAGUACUUAAAAAACUAGUUACUACAGUAAGUACUUUUAAAAACUAGUUACUACUGAUCAUUAGAAAUUUAGUUCAAUUUACACCAUACAAAUUACAUUUUAAAUUACAAAUAAAUUCCAAUCCUGCAAUUAUUGUGAGAUCAGACAGUCUCCAAUUAUUUAAAAACAAUUUAUUUAACCAUCAAACGUAUAUUAUUUUAAACUAUCGCUAAAAUCGGUUUAAAUAGAGUAGAUAUUUAUUUCAGUUCCAAUCAUUUUGUUUACAAUUAAGUUGAUUAUUAAGUUGAAUCUAGAAGACUAAGAAAUUAGUACAUAUAGAUGAUGAAAUAUCUCAACUAUUCAGCGAUAGUGACAACAAUAACGAUGAAUGCAAUUUUGAAGGUUACCUAUGUAAAGAAGAGCCAGACGACUACAAAAAUUAAGUAAUAGUACAUGCAAAAAAUUAAGCGCCUCUAAUGGUAGGUUUAAUUACGGAUGGGGCUAAUGUUGGAGACAUAGUGUUCGGCACUGGACCGAGACAUAGUGUUCAGCAUCAGCUAAAAAGUAGGUGCAACAAUUUUCUCACUUACACACAUUGUUUGUCGCACAAUUGCAGCUGGCACUGAAAGAUGCAGCCAGCACUUCAAAGGAACUUUAAACUCUGCAGCUAUUUUGUGAGCAACUCUUCAUUUUUCAUCUAAAUUCUACUGUUAUAUCAGCGGUUUAUUGUAACGCAUGCAAGGUUUAUGGUGUAAAAGGCCAAAUGCAGUGUCAUACGAGUUAAUUGUACCAGAUGGGUUGCGCAUAUGGUACAUGCGUUGGAAAAUCGACUCAAUGGUCUAAAAGCGCAUAUUCAUAGUUAUACCACUAUCAGCUUGGAAAGCGACUACAGUGCAAUACAGAAAUCGAAGGCUAAGUUCUUUGCAAAGAAAUUGGUUGAUCAGCACUUAAUGUCGACGGCGAUCUAUAUUCUUGAUGUGUGUAGAGCAAUGACAAUUUUUUCAGAGGCAUUAGUAAG